rnacentral:rRNA from 1 species
UACGAAGGGAGCUAGCGUUGUUCGGAAUCACUGGGCGUAAAGCGCACGUAGGCGGAUUUGCCAGUCAGGGGUGAAAUCCCGGGGCUCAACCUCGGAACUGCCUUUAAGACUGCAUCGCUAGAAUUGUGGAGAGGUAAGUGGAAUUCCGAGUGUAGAGGUGAAAUUCGUAGAUAUUCGGAAGAACACCAGUGGCGAAGGCGACUUACUGGACACAUAUUGACGCUGAGGUGCGAAAGCGUGGGGAGCAAACAGG